rnacentral:lncRNA from 1 species
UUUCCAGUCACCUCGUUGGGGGCCCUUUUAUCCCGGUUUGAAACACCAACCGGGAUAAAUGACCCCCUUUUAUCCCGGUUGGUGUUUCCAACCGGGAUAAAAGGCUCUUGACCCUUUUAUCUCGGUUGGUGUUACCAACCGGGAUAAAAGGGGGGGUCUUUUAGGGAACAUAUCCAGUAGAAACCACACCCUUCAUGAAAACCUGUGCAAACCAAAAUAAAAAUUCGUCUAAAUUCACAAAAAAAAUCACACAUGUAGAUGAUAUAUGAUGAUACACAUCCUUGUAAAAUAUCUUGUCCAAACUCAACUUCGUUUGUGAGAUAUAAAAAUAAAAGAUUCUAAUAAAUCAUUUGGACAACUUUCAGCCUUGGU